AUUGAACGCUGGCGGCAGGCCUAACACAUGCAAGUCGAACGAGUGGCGGACGGGUGAGUAAUGUCUGGGAAACUGCCCGAUGGAGGGGGAUAACUACUGGAAACGGUAGCUAAUACCGCAUACCAUCGGAUGUGCCAAGAUGGGAUUGGCUUGUAGGUGAGGUAACGGCUCACCUAGGCGACGAUCCCUCGCUGGUCUGAGAGGAUGACCAGCCACACGGCAAAUGAGACACGGCCCAGACUCCGACGGGAGGCAGCAGGGGGGAAUAGUGCAGAAGGGGCGCAAGCCUGAUGCAGCCAUUCCGCGUGUAUGAAGAGGGCCUUCGGGUUGUAAAGUACUUUCAGCGGGGAGGCGUUACCCGCAGAAUAAGCACCGGCUAACUCCGUGCCAGCAGCCGCGGUAAUAC
rnacentral:rRNA from 1 species